rnacentral:rRNA from 1 species
AGACAGCCGCGGUAAUUCCAGCUCCAAUAGCGUAUAUUAAAGUUGUUGCAGUUAAAAAGCUCGUAGUUGAACUUCGGGGUUUACCCAUUGGUCAGGCUUAAUUGUCUGUACUGGUGAGAUGAAUCUCUACCUUCUGAGGAACUUUUAUGCCAUUUAGUUGGUGUGAUAGGAAAUCAGGACUGUUACUUUGAAAAAAUUAGAGUGUUUAAAGCAGGCUAACGUCUGAAUACAUUAGCAUGGAAUAAUGAAAUAGGACGGAUUGGUUCUAUUUCGUUGGUUUCUAGGAUCACCGUAAUGAUUAAUAGGGAUAGUUGGGGGCAUUAGUAUUCAAUUGUCAGAGGUGAAAUUCUUGGAUUUAUUGAAGACUAACUAUUGCGAAAGCAUUUGCCAAGGAUGUUUUCAUUAAUCAAGAACGAAAGUUAGGGGAUCGAAGACGAUCAGAUACCGUCGUAGUCUUAACCAUAAACUAUGCGACUAGGGAUCGGACGAAGUUAAUUUUAUA